GAAAUGGUGGAAUCAAUGAAGAA
rnacentral:piRNA from 1 species